rnacentral:rRNA from 1 species
CCUACGGGUGGCAGCAGUGAGGAAUAUUGGUCAAUGGACGAGAGUCUGAACCAGCCAAGUAGCGUGAAGGAUGACUGCCCUAUGGGUUGUAAACUUCUUUUAUAUGGGAAUAAAAUGUUCCACGUGUGGGCUUUUGUGUGUACCAUAUGAAUAAGGAUCGGCUAACUCCGUGCCAGCAGCCGCGGUAAUACGGAGGAUCCGAGCGUUAUACGGGUUUAUUGGGUUUAAAGGGAGCGUAGGUGGCUUGUUAAGUCAGUUGUGAAAGUUUGCGGCUCAACCGUAAAAUUGCAGUUGAAACUGGCAGUCUUGAGUACAGUAGAGGUGGGCGGAAUUCGUGGUGUAGCGGUGAAAUGCUUAGAUAUCACGAAGAACUCCGAUUGCGAAGGCAGCUCACUGGACUGCAACUGACACUGAGGCUCGAAAGUGUGGGUAUCAAACAGGAUUAGAUACCCUGGUAGUC